CAUGUCUCUUACAAUGCUCCUGCCUUCCAGCCUCAGAAAUUGCUCUAUGAAAUACAAUCAAGAAAAAGCAAUUUAUGUGGAAGAGCACAGAACAAGUAGAAGAUUGCUGGGUCAUAGCUAAGAACCUGUAUUUCACACUCAAAACCCACAUAUUCAGCUGCCAAUAUGCCCACCUAUCCAGAAACUCAACCUGUUUACACCAAAAAAUCCUCAAGAGACUUGCAGGCAACCUCAGGCUUUGGAAACGAGGAACAGAGGUGCAACCUCAGGCUUUGGAGAUGAGGAACAGAAGUGGGACCUCGGGCUUUGGAGACGAGGAACAGAGGUGCAUCCUCAGGCUUUGGAAAUGAGAAACACAGGUGCAACCUCAGAUUUUGGAAAUGAGAAACAGAGGUACAUUUUCGAGUUUUCAGUACCACCACCUUUUAGAACC
ensembl:lncRNA novel transcript